GAUCCUGGGCCCUGUUCUAGGUCCUGAGUUGCAAGUUGCCUUCAGGGCAAAUUAGCACUUGUGCUAGGGUGGAAAUCAUUCAAGCUCUGUGAACUUCAGCCUCGUCACAUUUAGGACCUCUAAACUACAAGGCUUGUUUACUGCACGUGGAAUCACCAAAAGAUCUGUCUCCAGUCAAUAAGUUGAAGAAUUGAAUGGACACGUCAUCCCAGCUUCUGCUGAGCUUGUGCCUGAAUAGAUAUCAGACAAGAAAAACAUCAUGCAAACUCAGAUUUGUGUUGGAACCUCAAUGUCGUGUUGAAAACGCCUCAAUGUCCACCUAUCCUCAUUAAUCUAUUAAUUUCAUGUAACCAGAGUGCUGUCCUGGGUUUCUGUGGGAGUCAAAAGUAUAUCUGGCCCAUCUACUGCCC